rnacentral:snRNA from 1 species
AUCUAUUAAAAAACGGAGGUAGUAUAUGUUCUUAUCAGUUUAAUAUCUAAUAUGUGGGCCAUAUGCCCACUUUGAUAUUAAAUUUAUUUUUCGUGGGGGAGGGUAUACUAUAGCGGCUUGCCACUAGAGCCCUCGUGUGUCGCCCAGGCGUGCACUGGAGCUCGGGCUAGGCACACCCCAA